rnacentral:misc_RNA from 1 species
GGAAGGAUCAUUAGAGAAAAUUAAUCGAAUUCCGUAUUCUUAAACCCUUGCUGUGUACUUGUCUCUGUUGCUUCCGUGGGCUGCAGGUCAUGCGCUUGCAACCUCUCUCAUGGCGGACCCACGGAAGGCAAUCAUAUACCCUGUCUUGAUAUUGUAUUCGUCCGAGCUUGCUUAGUCAAUGAAUGUUAAAACUUUCAACAACGGAUCUCUUGGUUCUCGCAUCGAUGAAGAACGCAGCGAAAUGCGAUAAGUAGUGUGAAUUGCAGAAUUCCGUGAAUCAUCGAAUCUUUGAACGCAUAUUGCGCCUUUCGGCAUUCCGAAAGGCAUGCCUGUUCGAGCGUCAUAUAAACUCCUCAAGCGCGAAUUUGUCCUCGCUUGGUAUUGGUCAAGGAUCGAGCCUGGCUUGCUCCUGUCCGAAAUUCAAUGGCGAAGCCGUAUGGCUCCUUCAGUGUAAUAAUCAACGUUAUGUUUCGCUGCUGGACUCAUCAGGCUCCUGUUAUAAUUUAACUCCUCAGUUCCAAAAGUUUGACCUCGGAUCAGGUAGGGAUACCCGCUGAACUUAAGCAUAUCAAUAAGCGGAGGAAAAGAAACCAACAGGGAUUGCCUUAGUAACUGCGAGUGAAGCGGCAAAAGCUCAAAUUUUAAAUCUGUCGUCUACGACGUCCGAGUUGUAAUUUGGAGAGGCAUUGUCGGAUUGAGCACUAUCCUAUGUUCCUUGGAACAGGACGUCAUAGAGGGUGAGAAUCCCGUAUAUGGAUAGCUGUCUUGGUUCUUGUGACAUGUUUUCGACGAGUCGAGUUGUUUGGGAAUGCAGCUCAAAAUGGGUGGUAAAUGUCAUCUAAAGCUAAAUAUUGGCGAGAGACCGAUAGCGUACAAGUAGAGUGAUCGAAAGAUGAAAAGCACUUUGAAAAGAGAGUCAAAAAGUACGUGAAAUUGUUGAAAGGGAAGCGCUUACGACCAGACUCAAACCGUGGUGAUCAGCAGUGCUUCUGUACUGUGCACUUGCCAUCGUUUGGGACAGCAUCGGUUUGAAUGGCGGAAUAAAGACUCAAGGAAUGUAGCUCACCUCGGUGAGUGUUAUAGCCUUGGGUGCAAUGCCGCCUAUUCGGACCGAGGAUCGCGCUAUGCUAGGAUGCUGUCAUAAUGGUCGUCAGCGACCCGUCUUGAAACACGGACCAAGGAGUCUAACAUCCAUGCGAGUGUUCGGGUGGAAAACCCUUGCGCGUAAUGAAAGUGAACGACGGUGGGAACCUUUUAGGUGCACCAUCGACCGAUCCAGAAGUCUUCGGAUGGAUUUGAGUAAGAGCAUGGCUGUUGGGACCCGAAAGAUGGUGAACUAUGCCUGAAUAGGGUGAAGCCAGAGGAAACUCUGGUGGAGGCUCGCAGCGGUUCUGACGUGCAAAUCGAUCGUCAAAUUUGGGUAUAGGGGCGAAAGACUAAUCGAACCAUCUAGUAGCUGGUUCCUGC